AUAUCAUGAUGAGGACAUCUUCUGAGUAGCUCUUUAAAUCUUUCUUUUUAUCAUACAAGCUUUCAUCUUCAAGUUGAUGAAAAUAAAUGAUCUCAUUCCUCAAUUU
rnacentral:snoRNA from 1 species